UGCCCUGGCAGUCAGAGGCGAUGAAGGACGUGCUAAUCUGCGAUAAGCGUCGGUGAGGUGAUAUGAACCGUUAUAACCGGCGAUUUCCGAAUGGGGAAACCCAGUGUGUUUCGACACACUAUCAUUAACUGAAUCCAUAGGUUAAUGAGGCGAACCGGGGGAACUGAAACAUCUAAGUACCCCGAGGAAAAGAAAUCAACCGAGAUUCCCCCAGUAGCGGCGAGCGAACGGGGAGGAGCCCAGAGCCUGAAUCAGUGUGUGUGUUAGUGGAAGCGUCUGGAAAGGCGUGCGAUACAGGGUGACAGCCCCGUACACAAAAAUGCACAUAUUGUGAGCUCGAUGAGUAGGGCGGGACACGUGGUAUCCUGUCUGAAUAUGGGGGGACCAUCCUCCAAGGCUAAAUACUCCUGACUGACCGAUAGUGAACCAGUACCGUGAGGGAAAGGCGAAAAGAACCCCGGCGAGGGGAGUGAAAAAGAACCUGAAACCGUGUACGUACAAGCAGUGGGAGCCUCUUAAUGGGGUGACUGCGUACCUUUUGUAUAAUGGGUCAGCGACUUAUAUUCUGUAGCAAGGUUAACCGAAUAGGGGAGCCGAAGGGAAACCGAGUCUUAACUGGGCGUUAAGUUGCAGGGUAUAGACCCGAAACCCGGUGAUCUAGCCAUGGGCAGGUUGAAGGUUGGGUAACACUAACUGGAGGACCGAACCGACUAAUGUUGAAAAAUUAGCGGAUGACUUGUGGCUGGGGGUGAAAGGCCAAUCAAACCGGGAGAUAGCUGGUUCUCCCCGAAAGCUAUUUAGGUAGCGCCUCGUGAAUUCAUCUCCGGGGGUAGAGCACUGUUUCGGCAAGGGGGUCAUCCCGACUUACCAACCCGAUGCAAACUGCGAAUACCGGAGAAUGUUAUCACGGGAGACACACGGCGGGUGCUAACGUCCGUCGUGAAGAGGGAAACAACCCAGACCGCCAGCUAAGGUCCCAAAGUCAUGGUUAAGUGGGAAACGAUGUGGGAAGGCCCAGACAGCCAGGAUGUUGGCUUAGAAGCAGCCAUCAUUUAAAGAAAGCGUAAUAGCUCACUGGUCGAGUCGGCCUGCGCGGAAGAUGUAACGGGGCUAAACCAUGCACCGAAGCUGCGGCAGCGACACUAUGUGUUGUUGGGUAGGGGAGCGUUCUGUAAGCCUGUGAAGGUGGCCUGUGAGGGUUGCUGGAGGUAUCAGAAGUGCGAAUGCUGACAUAAGUAACGAUAAAGCGGGUGAAAAGCCCGCUCGCCGGAAGACCAAGGGUUCCUGUCCAACGUUAAUCGGGGCAGGGUGAGUCGACCCCUAAGGCGAGGCCGAAAGGCGUAGUCGAUGGGAAACAGGUUAAUAUUCCUGUACUUGGUGUUACUGCGAAGGGGGGACGGAGAAGGCUAUGUUGGCCGGGCGACGGUUGUCCCGGUUUAAGCGUGUAGGCUGGUUUUCCAGGCAAAUCCGGAAAACCAAGGCUGAGGCGUGAUGACGAGGCACUACGGUGCUGAAGCGACAAAUGCCCUGCUUCCAGGAAAAGCCUCUAAGCAUCAGGUAACAUCAAAUCGUACCCCAAACCGACACAGGUGGUCAGGUAGAGAAUACCAAGGCGCUUGAGAGAACUCGGGUGAAGGAACUAGGCAAAAUGGUGCCGUAACUUCGGGAGAAGGCACGCUGAUAUGUAGGUGAAGCGACUUGCUCGUGGAGCUGAAAUCAGUCGAAGAUACCAGCUGGCUGCAACUGUUUAUUAAAAACACAGCACUGUGCAAACACGAAAGUGGACGUAUACGGUGUGACGCCUGCCCGGUGCCGGAAGGUUAAUUGAUGGGGUUAGCGGUAACGCGAAGCUCUUGAUCGAAGCCCCGGUAAACGGCGGCCGUAACUAUAACGGUCCUAAGGUAGCGAAAUUCCUUGUCGGGUAAGUUCCGACCUGCACGAAUGGCGUAAUGAUGGCCAGGCUGUCUCCACCCGAGACUCAGUGAAAUUGAACUCGCUGUGAAGAUGCAGUGUACCCGCGGCAAGACGGAAAGACCCCGUGAACCUUUACUAUAGCUUGACACUGAACAUUGAGCCUUGAUGUGUAGGAUAGGUGGGAGGCUUUGAAGUGUGGACGCCAGUCUGCAUGGAGCCGACCUUGAAAUACCACCCUUUAAUGUUUGAUGUUCUAACGUUGGCCCGUAAUCCGGGUUGCGGACAGUGUCUGGUGGGUAGUUUGACUGGGGCGGUCUCCUCCUAAAGAGUAACGGAGGAGCACGAAGGUUGGCUAAUCCUGGUCGGACAUCAGGAGGUUAGUGCAAUGGCAUAAGCCAGCUUGACUGCGAGCGUGACGGCGCGAGCAGGUGCGAAAGCAGGUCAUAGUGAUCCGGUGGUUCUGAAUGGAAGGGCCAUCGCUCAACGGAUAAAAGGUACUCCGGGGAUAACAGGCUGAUACCGCCCAAGAGUUCAUAUCGACGGCGGUGUUUGGCACCUCGAUGUCGGCUCAUCACAUCCUGGGGCUGAAGUAGGUCCCAAGGGUAUGGCUGUUCGCCAUUUAAAGUGGUACGCGAGCUGGGUUUAGAACGUCGUGAGACAGUUCGGUCCCUAUCUGCCGUGGGCGCUGGAGAACUGAGGGGGGCUGCUCCUAGUACGAGAGGACCGGAGUGGACGCAUCACUGGUGUUCGGGUUGUCAUGCCAAUGGCACUGCCCGGUAGCUAAAUGCGGAAGAGAUAAGUGCUGAAAGCAUCUAAGCACGAAACUUGCCCCGAGAUGAGUUCUCCCUGACUCCUUGAGGGUCCUGAAGGAACGUUGAAG
rnacentral:rRNA from 1 species